rnacentral:lncRNA from 1 species
GCCACUCGGUGGGAAGGUAACGGUGCUCCAUGCAGUCCAAGGAGGUGUCUAUGGACAAUGCUGGCUCUUCGGCUUAGAAAUCGAGAUGAGCACCAACCCCAGACUAGGACAUGAGUAGACUUAAUGUAAUGGGGAAACCUUUACCUUUACUGCAGUUAUAUUUGGCUCUUUUAAAAAGCAAAUUUACUGUUAAAAAUAAAAUAAGUUAUGGAACAGUGGACACGUAGGAAGAAGUUACAAGGGUAUGUGGAAGUACGAUCACAGGAGCACAAAUUGCUGAAUUGGUGCAAUUUUACAAAUGUAGACAGGUGAGAUAUUGAAGGUGUUCAUACUCAUAUGUGUCCACUAUCAAUGAAACAGUGAAUAACCUCAGAGAGGAGGAGAAAAAAUACCCCCUAUAAUUUGGAGUCAAAGGAAUGUAAAGUUCCCCCAAUGUUCAUGCAUCAAACAUCCCCCGCAGGUUGUGAGCCCUUAAUCCCUUCGUUCAUUUACAACUUUCUGUCAAUCAGCAACAUAACAAACUUUUCAAUUAUCGCUGCCUAAGUAAGGCAAUUGUCUGCGUUCUGCUCCAGUCCUCCUUUGCUUCUCCUAAAGUAGUAAAAGACGGAGCAAUUGUGUUUUAAUAAAAAAAAUUGAUUUGCUCCCCCGCCUGCUCUUUAACAAACACAAACAUCCCAUGGAUCUCCAAUGAUUUAUGUCUACAAUUUGCAAAAAAUUAUUUCGCUAUUGAUUUUUGCAGAUUCGUUUUGCUUUGUUCACCUCGUUUACUCAAUUAGGGUAAAUAUCACAUGGGCAGGCAUAUAAAUUACUCACCAUGGAGCCGGUGAGAGAGCGAGCCUUGAAAAAAAGACACUAAAGAGGUUCUAACAAGAUUCACGGUCAACAAUCUCAUAAAUGGAAAGACUCUUAAUAAGGUGACCACUUUGCACCAAUCCGGGAUCAAAUUUAGACCAAAUGACAGGGUAGAAAUAAUAGUGGGAAGGAGGGACCACUUCAAUAAGGCCGAGGAUCUGCUUCAGUUUCAUAAAAGAAACCCUCUUGGCGAAACCACUUGGCGAUUACAACACUUUGGAGAGACUCUUUCAAGUUCAGACCAAAACUCAUUUCAUGAAGAGUUAAGUCCCUGCUGAUCUUCAGAGCUCUCCCACACACUCCCCUCCAUU